GGAAGUUAUGAUACAAACCUAAAGGUUAGUCUGGAGGACUCCCCCAUGGUUUUUCAUUUGAUGCCAUGUGAUUUAUAUGAUAGAAUUGCUUCCUCAAUAUAUGACUGCUUAAAGAAACUUUUUAAAACUUCGGUUAUCCUAGCCUUUGUGUUGGGAUACCUUGCUAAAAGUGUUAAUACCUGUGUCAAGUCUGUUAGGGAGGAGUUUUUUAGAGGUAAGGUGUAGAUUUUUAAGAUAAUUGUAAUUAGUUGACAUGUUUGGGAGCAAGGUUAUUUAAUGAGGUAAGGUUUUUGAGGGUUUUUGGAGGUUUUGAAAACCUCCAAAACACUUAAUAGUAAUUUUAUAUUUCCUAUAUUAUCCUCUUUAUUUUUUUUUAGAUUAUAUAUUUUAUGUUAACCAUGUUAUCCUCCAACAGUGCUGAUGUUGGCAUGUCCAAAGGAUCAAAGAUUGAUACCAUUUCCCUUUUUUUUCAAAUUAUAAAAUGUUAGUUUUCAACUUGUUGGAUUAUUGCACUUCUCUUUGCAUUUGUUAGAUUAUGCUGAUUUUCUUAUGUUUAUUUCUAGAUUUUAUUUGAAAAAACAGUAUGAAUUUUUUUUUCAAGAUUUAUUUUCUUGUAUUUAGUUUUUUCUUAAAUUUUAUUUGGAAAAUCAUAUUUGUUAAAAAAUAAAUAUGAUUAAUUUAAAUGUUAAAAUAUAUCUCCUUAAGUAAUAAAGAUAUUUUUGUAAUCUCAUACUUUACCUUACCUUUCCAUAUCUUCCUUCCACAAACAAUAUCAAGUUAUUAAACUAUCAUUUACUGUACCUUUCUUUCAAACAAAAUAAGAUUAAAAAAACCUUACCUUACUUUCCAUUACUUUAUCUUACUUUACUUAAAAAGAAUCUUACCUUACCUCCUUACACUUCUUUUUGUGAGUCCGGACCCCAAUGUGAUAAAAUGGGCUCUUUAUAUAUUAGUUUAACUCCUUAUUCCUGCACAUGUCCUGUCUAUAAAUUAUCACCCAUUUAGAUGUAGACUAUUCUAUUUUUGGUCUUCUAAAACAAAUAUUGUGUGAACCUAAACAUCUGGAAUGAUUGUCCAGAGAAAACUAAAAAAUUGGCAAGUUUUUUUACUGCAUCGAAUAAUCAUUCCUUUUUAUUCAAGCUGUUUUAUCAUUGUUAUGAUUCUAUGUGCAUAUGGAUAAACAUUAAAAUUUAAUGCAACCUAUCCUGCUGAAAGCACGUAAACAUUUUGUUUUCAUUCAAUCUGUUUUAUCCGUUUUAUCAUUGUUAUGAUUCUACGAGCGUGUGGAUGGACAUUAAAAUUUAAUGCAACCUAUCCUGCUGAAAGCACGUAAACAUUUUGUUUUCAUUCAAUCUGUUUUAUCCGUUUUAUCAUUGUUAUGAUUCUACGAGCGUGUGGAUGG
rnacentral:misc_RNA from 1 species